rnacentral:rRNA from 1 species
AUUGAACGCUGUCGGCAGGCUUAACACAUGCAAGUCGAACGGUAACAUAAAGAAGCUUGCUUCUUUGAUGACGAGUGGCGGACGGGUGAGUAAUGCUUGGGAAUCUAGCUUAUGGAGGGGGAUAACUACGGGAAACUGUAGCUAAUACCGCGUAAUAUCGAAAGAUUAAAGUGUGGGACCUUCGAGCCACAUGCCAUAGGAUGAGCCCAAGUGGGAUUAGGUAGUUGGUGAGGUAAAGGCUCACCAAGCCGACGAUCUCUAGCUGGUCUGAGAGGAUGACCAGCCACACUGGGACUGAGACACGGCCCAGACUCCUACGGGAGGCAGCAGUGGGGAAUAUUGCGCAAUGGGGGCAACCCUGACGCAGCCAUGCCGCGUGAAUGAAGAAGGCCUUCGGGUUGUAAAGUUUCUUUCGGUAGCGAGGAAGGCACUUAGUUUAAUAGACUAGGUGAUUGACGUUAACUACAAAAGAAGCCCG